AUUAGCCAUGCAUGUCUAAGUACACACGAAUUAAAAGUGAAACCGCAAAAGGCUCAUUAUAUCAGUUAUGGUUCCUUAGAUCGUUAACAGUUACUUGGAUAACUGUGGUAAUUCUAGAGCUAAUACAUGCAAUUAAAACAUGAACCUUAUGGGACAUGUGCUUUUAUUAGGCUAAAACCAAGCGAUCGCAAGAUCGUUAUAUUGGUUGAACUCUAGAUAACAUGCAGAUCGUAUGGUCUUGUACCGACGACAGAUCUUUCAAAUGUCUGCCCUAUCAACUUUUGAUGGUAGUAUCUAGGACUACCAUGGUUGCAACGGGUAACGGGGAAUCAGGGUUCGAUUCCGGAGAGGGAGCCUGAGAAACGGCUACCACAUCUAAGGAAGGCAGCAGGCGCGUAAAUUACCCACUCCCAGCUCGGGGAGGUAGUGACGAAAAAUAACAAUACAGGACUCAUAUCCGAGGCCCUGUAAUUGGAAUGAGUACACUUUAAAUCCUUUAACAAGGACCAAUUGGAGGGCAAGUCUGGUGCCAGCAGCCGCGGUAAUUCCAGCUCCAAUAGCGUAUAUUAAAGUUGUUGCGGUUAAAACGUUCGUAGUUGAACUUGUGCUUCAUACGGGUAGUACAACUUACAAUUGUGGUUAGUACUAUACCUUUAUGUAUGUAAGCGUAUUACCGGUGGAGUUCUUAUAUGUGAUUAAAUACUUGUAUUUUUUCAUAUGUUCCUCCUAUUUAAAAACCUGCAUUAGUGCUCUUAAACGAGUGUUAUUGUGGGCCGGUACUAUUACUUUGAAACAAAUUAGAGUGCUUAAAGCAGGCUUCAAAUGCCUGAAUAUUCUGUGCAUGGGAUAAUGAAAUAAGACCUCUGUUCUGCUUUCAUUGGUUUUCAGAUCAAGAGGUAAUGAUUAAUAGAAGCAGUUUGGGGGCAUUAGUAUUACGACGCGAGAGGUGAAUUCUUGGACCGUCGUAAGACUAACUUAAGGCGAAAGCAUUUGCCAAAGAUGUUUUCAUUAUCAGAACCGAAGUUAGAGGU
rnacentral:rRNA from 1 species